CGAUAAAUGCAAGGAAAGGCUAAAAAAAAAAAGCUAUCGACGGCGUACCGUCUUCUUGAGUCCGUGGAAUGAACUCACUUUCUGACAGCUAGCUGUCAUCCAAUGACGUCAGCGCAGAGGACCCGCCCACACACACUGGCUGGUUGAAUUCUCCAGGACCUUGAUGCCCUCCUGCACAGCCUGCAGCUCGGCGGCAGUCCUUGGCCGACUGCGUUCAACCGCCUUCAGUUUCUCCACCAUGAGGGGAGCCAGAGCAUGAAUGUACGGGGUAGAAAGGGGGCGGGUGGAAUGCUGAAACACUGACAGCAGCAGCUGAUAACACCGUGCCUGAACCUGUGGUAAAGCAACAGAAUAAGAGUGGAAUUACCAAAGUUAACAAGCCACAUCCAGGAUAUACAAUGUGUUUAAGGAACCUUUUUAGUUUCAAGCACUUACCCAUGGAUCACUAGAGUUGAGGGCAUUACGGAAGCGCUCCAUGCAGCCCUUCUGCAGGACAGUCACCCCUACAAGUUCAUUACUAGCAGAGAGCAGGAAGAGUGUAAUCGCUGUCAACAUGCUGAUCUCAUCCAAAUCAGGCCUGGACUCAUCUAAAGAAAAACACAAGUUUGACAAAUAACAUGUCCUCGCCUCAUGGGUCUUCCUUCCAUAUAACUGUGUAGAGCAGGGGUGUCAAACAUACGGCCUGAGGGCCGGAUUAGGCCCGCAAACAGGUUUUAUACUUGGCUGAGUUUGCCAAGUAUAAAAAUUAACCUUAAAUUUUUAAAUGAAAGAAACAGCCGUUCUAAAUGUGUCCACUGGAUGUCACAAUAGCAAUUCCUUGUAUCUUUGUAGAUGAUGCUACAUAUGUAAAAAAUAAACCACAUGAUGUUCGUACAUCAGUCGAGGAAAAUGAUCAAACUACAUAAAUAACAUCCUGUAAUUUGAUUUUGAUAUAACUUUUUUUAUCUUGAUAGAUUGAAAAUAACACCAAUGAGUUGAUUGAUGAACAUUAUCACAUAAUUUAUUCAGAAAAUAUAAAUAACGACAAAAAAAUAUAGAAUACUAUUAACCGCAACAUGCAAGUGUAAAAAAACAAAACAACAUUAUGAUUUGUACACUUUCAUAAUGUGCUCGUUCUAUUUUUAAACCAAAAAAACAAUCUGAAAUUGUCUUUAUUUUUAAGUUAUCGUGCCGUGAUUUUACCAGUCCGGCCCACUUGGGAGUAGAUUUUUCUCCAUGUGGCCCCUGAUCUACAAUUAGUUUGACACCCCUGGUGUACAGUAAGGCUAUUUAGUGGUAAAUGGUAAGAUCAUUUACCAUUUAGUGGUAAAUGUUAAAUGGUGAUGGUAAGUGUUGGUAACUGUUAACAUAUUUGCAGAUUUUUGCAUUGACAUUUUAACCUUGCUAGCAAACAGAGAACAAUGGGGUCCAAAUUUGUGAUUAGCAUACCUGAGGCGUUCCUCAAGGCACCCCUUUAAGUCGUGUCCUUUUUGGCAGUUACACAUUGUUUUUCGUAAUUUGAUUUAUGUAACUAAGGUAUUGCUUUAGCUUUACUUUAGAUGCAGUCAGUAGUCAUUCGUUCAACUUCUUUAGUUAUACGAGUAGUGUUCCUCAAGGUUCCAUUUUAGGUCCUCUCUUUUUCAUCAUUUGGGCUAUUCAACUGGUGGCCCGCAUGUUUAGUUAAAAAAAACUUGUGAGACACUCACAUAUGAUCUCUGACUAGCUGUUUUGCAGGAGGUCCUUAAAAACAGCAUAGCACUCCUAUAACUCUGACAAAUAGACCAAAAUCAAAUGGUUGGUUCUCGCGAAUAUACAAAUUAAGAAUAGUAAUACAAGCUUUCUAUUAUUAGCUAAGCUUCCUCGAAAUAUGCCCCCUAAAACAAUUUAGUUUAUUAUCCCUGAUGUAGAGUAUGUGCAAACCUGGCUGCGAGUCCUCAAGUACAGAGGCCAGACUGCUUCUCACAAGGGCAGUCCACUGCGUCUGCAGGUUAUCCACACGAGCCACUGGGGAGGUGAUAAUGGUCUUGAUUCCCUGCAGCGCAGCAGACACGGACGUAGAUACUGAGUUGUCAGCAGUCUUGACUGCAGUUUCUCUCAGCACCCCCGUAAUUAAAAAGAGCACAGUAGGUAGGAUGGUCAUGCUGCCUGCAAACAGAAACCAUGAGAACAUGGGCAUAGGUUCAUGGUGACUAUCACAACAGUCAAAUUAAAAGUACUAUGUCUUGCAGGCAAUGGUAUUCAAUCCAAACGCAGUCUUUAAAAAAAAAAAAAAAAAAUUACUAUAAAAAACAACAACUUUUCAAUUUUUCAAGUUGCAUUUCGUGCAAUGAUAGGCAUUUUUUGUUGGGUUCUCUAUAGAUAAGCACUUACAGUCUUAUUGGAACAAAUGUACAUGAUGGCUAACAAAUCAUUUUUGUUUACAAAGACCUUUGUGAUACCGGAUGUAAGAAGACAUAGGUUUUUACAAAUGUCAAUGUACCGGUAUGUGUCGAAUGCAAAAUUGAGUGGCGUAUAGAUUGUAGCAGUGGUUCCAAACUGGCACCAACCACCACCCCUUAAUGACGACCGGCACAGUUUUCCAACUCAAAUAACUUAUAUUUCAUGAAAAGACAAUCGAAGUGCAGUUUGAUUUUGAGGUAGUGCAAAAUAGUACACUGUGUCAGUUUAAUGGUCAUAUCAAAAACAAGUUUGUACCUACAAACUAAAAAAAAGACUUGAACAUAAAGUGUCUUCACAGGUUUUCAGUACAAGAUAUAAUUGCACGUGUUCAAUCAGAGAAACUGGACUUGGAUGACCUUCAAGAAGGUCAAACAAAAUGAGGAGCUCUGAUUCAACUCUUCAGAUAAACAAAAAGUGUGAUUAAAAAAUAUUAAAUUAUAGAAAUGUAACUUUUCUUUUGAUGAACUCAAUAGGUAAGUUAAAAAGAAAAAUAGUAACGCAACGCCUCUCAGUCCGCUAGUCAUACCUAGGAGUCUUCAUUGUGGGUAGAAUUCCCCCAUGCAACAUAACUUAAACUGCUAAAAUAAGCUUAUGGCGCGCUCUUUACCCGCAGAUGUGUCCCUCGCCUGCAUUUCCUGAGCUACAGAUGGCAAGGUUACGUCUCCACUCCGCAGAAUUCUUAUUACUUAUGGAGUAUAUGUGAAUAAAUUGAGAACAGGAAGUGAACAAAAGUGUUAGCAACUGCUAUGUAAAAGAAGAGGGGUAGGAUUAAAUAAGAUCUGCUUCUUCCUACUCCUUUUCGAACAUGUUGAAAAGAGAAACUGCAAAUUGUGAUGUAUCAUGUUGUGUGCAUGCACGUUCGAAAUGAACUCAAACUCAACUCCACUCAACGCCUUUCCCUUCCCAGUCAAACUUGACAAAGUCGCCCAAAAACAUGUCACGCACCUCGUAGCAAGUGAACAGCACAAAUUAGAACGCAAAGGUGCAUUCCAAGACAUUAUAACAUUCUUGUAUGAUUUGCGACCCACUGAGAAAGGGGCCACCAUCCACCAUUUGAGAAUCACUGGAUUGAAGCGAUAUGAUUCCAAAGUGUGGUAUUCUUAGCGAGGCAAGAAAUCAACAUUGUUUUGCUUAAAUUCCUAUCUACAUGGUAUGUGCGUGUAUGUGCAACUGUAGAAUUUCGUACCAGCAGGAGAGCAGAGCGAGGGCAGUUCAGCCAGAAUGGCAACCGUGUUUGCCACAAGACGUGCGCUCUCCUCCGGUAGUCGCUGAGGCCUCAUCGGCACAUGGCUCGGUGACUCCUUCACACGUGUAUUGAGCUGAGGUAAGUGACGAACCAGUAUGAAAACCAGCAGCUCCAUUGAAGCAAACACCAAAGAGCUGCCUGGGACGAGCUCGCCUGUCUCUCCCCCUUCCCCUAGGAUGAGUUGAGAAUCAAUCUGGCCUUCCUUCACUUUUCCUGUGAAAAUUACCACUGUUAUUUAGAGUGGUAAAACUGCCAUAACCAUUAAUACAACAAUAAGCAAAUAGAUAGCCUCAUUAAUACUUAAAGGUGCCAUAUGUAGUAAUGUGGCCAGAAAUGGUACUGCAAUUACAGUCAAAAUUCUGUAGUCCCCUUCCACUCUCCCUGACUGAGGUUGCCAGAUACGCAGCCGAAUCGGAAUCCUACUCCAAGGAACUUCAAAUGGCAAUCGACGAGUCCAAAGCUGUAGGUUUGUCUUAUUUAUGCUUCUUGCAAGAUGGUUUACGAAGUAAUUAUGCCACAUUUUACUGAUGUCGAUUAGCCAAAUGUAUUUGUAAAGUUACGCAGCAAUAUUUUUGUCGGGAGUCGGGACAGAUUGUUGGCAUUACCCUGCUAAAAUGUCUAGUUUGACCGCACGGACCACCUUCGAAAUAAUUAUAUAUAAUAAUGUAUAAUACAUCGCAUAAGCCUACUGUGAUGGCAAACCAAGGCCAACAGUCAAAUUAUCGCCACAUUUUGUUCUGCAUAACUCAUUUUGCAUCCAAACUGCAUUCUCUUCCAUGUACGCACAUCACCAUCUUUCAGUGCAAUUCAAUAAGCCAACCCAUGUUACGCAAAAACCACGUUACACAUAACUCAUAUAGCCUACUACCAUGUCAAUACACAAUGUAGAAAAUCAUUACAUGUAAUGCAUUAUAUUUUGCCAAGCAAAUACCACCCCAUGUGUGCCUGAUGCACAUACAGUACCAGAAACUGCAAUUAGCCGUGCUAAUGUUGGAAUGCAUUUCCUCAGCGUAUCAGCAUAUUGAGAACGAAAUAGGCACUGACACUACCCAUAUCCACAUAGGUUUUUCUGAAAUUGUGCUGUCAACAUAACGUUAACAUUGAAUUACAUGGCCCUGUCAGUUGGAUGACACAUCAACAUACAGGCUAACGGGCAUAUAUUUCCCUCGUUAGCUGUCGAUGUGUCAUUGACUGAGCUAGCAUUACACUAGGAGUUGAGCACCACCACACUAAGCAUUCAUUGCAUGAACAUACUAGCUUUGUUAGGCAAGAUCAUAGGCUGCAUUGGACAAUAUAGUUUACAUAUGAAAUGUCCAUUUCCAUUUAUUACAAGUAAUAAGAAACCGUAAAUGCCUUACUUACCUAUCAAGGAGAAAAUUAGCAAGUUUGGAGUCGGAUUAAAAAAUCUUCUCCGCCUUCAAUCGUCUUCAUCUUUCAAAGGCAUCCCUGAUACAAAUCCUCGUUUUGUUCCCGGCUUUGUCAUGAAUAAGUUGAGAAUCUUAACGACGCCUUUUAGAUGAACUAAAGUCUGACAUGUUUAGUAACUUUACCAGCGGCAAUAGCUCGACAAAGCUGUCAACCUGGAUGUGACACAUUCAUGGACUUUCUAAUUGGUCCAUGAAUGGUGGAGGGCGGGGCAUCAAAAUGAAAACAAUAAUAUUUUGGGGCUGUAAAUCAAAUUUUGAAAUGAGCAUAUCCCGGCUGAACUACCGUUAUCAGUUAUAAAGGUAUUCGAAAAUAACAUGAUUUAUUAAUGCCUUUUGACAUAUCGGGGCCAUUUAAUGAUGACUUGACAUGAAAUUAUUUAAUAUGGCACCUUUAAAAUUUUCUGUGGAAAAAAUAUGUUUAGUAAGUUCACAUAUCAACAGUUUUGUCAGGGAAUCGUUCUGACCCUUGUUAUUCUUUUGUUGCUGCAAAUGGUUUAGUGCGGCUCUAAUGGUCUCCUGUACCACAGCAGUAACCUGGAGCUGGAUGACAGGAGGGUCCCGGGUCAGCAGCAGUCUGUGAAGUACAUUCAGGAGCUCCACUGCCAACAGCUGGAACAGAAGUAACAAGACUCCUCAAAGGUCUUUGCAGUCGACGAGGCUCCCGAGUGGAGAGCAGGAACCUUGGAGGAAACCUCUUCUUUUUCCUCACAAGCUCCAAAGCCAGUGCUGCUCAGCCAUAAUGCCACAGCAUGCAGUACAGGAGCCCAAGAGCCGCGGUAAUGAAGCCUUGCUGUGUCUAUCGUCUCUGGAGUAUAAAACGCACCACCUGAACACACAUCAAGAGGCAGCUGACUGGAAAACUCAGCAGGCAGAGUGAGCAGAGCAUAGUCACGGAGCAUGGCCAACCACAGUCGACUCAGCGAGGGCAGCUCAGGCUGCACUAAAGUGAUGAGACUGUCAGGUGGAAGCACAUCUGCACCCAGAUCAU